GUUAUGUCCCUGCAGUCCUAAUGACUCUCUGCAGGGCCUUCGGCUGUAGAGCAGCUCCUCACCACGCCAGCAUGCCGUGGGUCCGGACGCCCUCAGUGGUGAAGGACAUAAGCAGGUGUUGUUGGGAUGGGUUCACCUUCCAACAUCAACAACACAAACUAAACAAACAGAUAACCUGAGUUCAGACUUCAUCCUGCUGCUCGUCCUGCUGCACCGGGCGUGAGUUACCUCACAAUGAAACUGAAAGACUGAAGCAGGUCUUCAGUGGAAACAGGGGCUCUGCAGCUAAAGAGGAAGUUGGUGUGUUAGACCACAGAGCUGCUGCAGUCACAGGACGGACACACAACAAAGAUGAAGAACAUGAAGCUGCACUGGGGCGCCGCCGUUCUCCUGGGUCUGACCGCUGACCUUCUGGUGCCGUUCGUCUCGGCUGCUGACGUCCAGUAUGUGCAGUUUGGAUCCACCGUCACUCUGAGCUGUAACACGUCCUACAUUUAUGAGACAACAUGGCUGAAACAAAACCCAGAGGACACACCCACCGUGGUCCUCAGCGCCAUCCUCAGAGAGGGACGACCCGACCACGGGUUUCAGCUGGAUCCUCGUUACACCGUGACCCUGAUGGAGCGCUCUCUGGCUCUCAGGAUCAGCGCCAUCCAGGAGCAGGACCUGGGCCUGUUCUACUGUAUCAGUAAAGGGAACCCACAUUUGACGAUCGGGACAGGAACCAUGCUUCAGAAUGAGCGCGUCCCUCAGUUUCUGCUGCAGCACUGGUACUGUGUGCUCGUGGGUUUGGUGCUGCUCAUCAUGGUGCUGGCUGUGUGUCUCACCCACUGGAGAGCUAGGUCGAAGGAGAGGAGGGCCGCCAAGCAGUCCCGCAGCCCACACAGAGACAAAACCAGACAACACCUCCAACAGCAGCUACCCUAACACACCUGUCACUGUAUGUGAUUAUAUCCACCGACUGGCUGUCCCCUAGGGGCAAUUCAAGUAGAUUACACAGUUAAACGAAGAUAUAUAUAAGAUAGCAAUAAAUAUAUAAAAGGAAAUAAGAAACCA
rnacentral:lncRNA from 1 species